GGCUACCACAUCUACGGAAGGCAGCAGGCGCGUAAAUUACCCAAUCCUGAUUCAGGGAGGUAGUGACAAGAAAUAACAACUCGGGGCCUCACGGCUUACGAGAUUGCAAUGAGAACAAUUUAAAUCUCUUAGCGAGGAACAAUUGGAGGGCAAGUCUGGUGCCAGCAGCCGCGGUAAUUCCAGCUCCAAUAGCGUAUAUUAAAGUUGUUGCAGUUAAAAAGCUCGUAGUUGAAUUUCUGAUUAUGGAUGUAGCGGUUUCCGUUACAUUUGUAGUCAUCCACAUGAGAACCUUUCUCGGCCUUCACUGGUCGGUUGGGGGAUCAUGUACUUUUACUUUGAAAAAUCAGAGUGUUUCAGGCAGGCGUUUGCAUGAAUACACAAGCAUGGAAUAAUGGAAUAGGACUAGGGUCCAUUUAUUGGUUAUUGGACAUAGUAAUGAUUAAUAGGGACAGUUGGGG
rnacentral:rRNA from 1 species